AUGUACACUUAAGAGAUAAAAAUAACUUUAUCUAUUUGAUCCAGUGAAAUUACCCUAAGCUUUCAGGUAAUUAACCUUUAAACACUUUGCCGAUGUCAAAGCCCAAGGUGAAGGCAUUUUCUUGAAUAUUAUGGUAUUGCCUCUGGUGGUUAAGAGUUGUUUGUUGCUGACAAAGGCAUGGAGACGAAUUUAAUUUUAGUUUUACUUUUUAGAAAAAGAAAAAUAGAAGCAUUUGUUCAGGUACAGUAUAAACGUAGAAUAUACAUAUAUAUAUAUUUUUUUUUUCACACAAACACACACACAUGAAAUAUUUCUUUGUUUAAAGCAAUCAAUACAACAUAGGACUCCCAAACUUUGUGUAAACAUGUUCCUGUACUAUAUGAAACUUCCUAUCUCAGUAUUUGUAGUAUGAUGUUGAUAAAUUGCAUGAUUUUUUUUUUUUUUUUUUUUCUGAUUGGUGGUAAUAAAUGACAGUGAUUUAUCACUUAACUUUUCAGGUGAGCUCAAACAGUUGCCUAGACUGAUAAGCAACUAAAGUAUUUAACAGAAAAGCGGACCUUUCUGUUUUCCCAGAAGCAUAUGUCCAGAUAUUAGCAAUAGGUUAUGAAGAAGGGGAAGGAAAAUUGUAAAAGGGUUGUUCUGAGAGCAGUCCUUACAGUCAGAACUGCAAUAAGAGCUCGUCUUCGUGCCUGGCUGUGUGUCUGCUCUGUCAGCAGCAUUAGAGUCUUGAUCUUUAUCCAGUUACUGCUGCUGAUGUCUACAUUUUCAUUUACCUUGACUGCCAUUUAAUCAUAAUAAUAAUAAGACAACAAAUGAUUAAGGCAGAACUAGGAGUGUAGCCGAGAACGCAUGUCUUGUUAUAUGUCUAUCACAUCUCCUAUGACAUCUAUGAUGGGACAUAGUCUUAAUUUUACCAAGCCAGAUUCCUAAUUUUUGGUUUCCUAAUUUUUUCUAGCUUCUAAUAAGUUUUUGGAAUUAUGAAAAUGAUGAAAACUCUGAAGUCUCAUUUCUAGAAGUUGUUCAUUUUCAUACUGUGUUCUAAGGAGUCUUAAGGACAGAGUUGCCUCUGAUGCCAUGGAGAACAGGGGUCAGAGAAAGAGAAGCUCUGUAUUCUAAGAACCUGGAAACACUCUUUACUCACACUAUUAAGAUGAUUGAGAAAAAUGGAUGGAUAGAGUUUGUUUGUUAAAAGAAAAACUGGAUGACUACCUAGCUAUCUCGCUCCUUUUUGCUCUAUUGGAAGUUGAAGAUUUGUCCAAGAGCAGAUAGCUGAAGAGAGAGAGAAAGAAGAGAGAACAGCUUACAGCUCAGGUCCUCUCUCCAUGCUUAGGAGACACUACAAAUGCUAUGGUCUUGAGUCUCAUUUUGUUUCUCUCUGGAAAACACAUGUGCACUUUGUUGGCGACAGUAUGGCUCCAGGGCUGCAUCUCCGUGGGCACGCCAAGCUUCCCCUGGUUACCUGAGCUGCUCCUGCCGUCUCCCGCCUGGGCUUCGCCGUGGUGCACCCGAUCCCGGAAUCGUGCGUCUGCGCCCUGCGAAAGAAGGACCUGCUGGCGGAGCUCCGGCCAGGGUCUCCUCCCUCGCAGCUGGGCGAGGCGACUUGGAGGACAGGGUGAAGCUGCAGAAGACCUGGGUGGGACGGCUAGAGAGGACGCCAAGGACUGGGGAAGGGGAAGUUAGGAGUACCUUACAUCCAAUGCCCACCCGUGCUCCGCAGGGCAAGGGCAGCCGUCGCCUCGGCCGCGUGCACCCAGCUCAGGCUGUUCCCAGGGAUUUAGUCUGGGGGGUCAACCCAUGGCGAGAUGUGGUGGCAUUUUACCUCAGAGUGGAGCUGAAGAUGGAUAAACAAGGUAUCUGAUGUAUCUGCCUGAGAAGGCAGAGCUGGAGAAAGGCGGAGUGAGGGAGCGCGUGGAAGGAAAGAGAUGCCGAAUGCCGGGUGAUUGUCUGCCGCUUGCUGUGCAUUCUCAUUCUAGGGAGGAUGGCAUAAUUUAUAACCCAGCACAUGGAUGGAGGAACUGUAAAUUGCAGUCUGGAUGUCCCCGACGCUGUCAACGAAGGAACUGAUGGGCUAGGUGACUGUACCAGUGUCCCCAGAGAAAAUCGCAGCCUCGCAGCAUGGAUUUAAAUGCAUGUGCAUGCAUGUAGAGACAUGAAAAAGGUUUCUGACCAUUUUACACAGGAAGUCUGUCACUUUGCUGGAUCGGGCUUGAUUGCAGCUUGUGUUUUCAGCUCCAGCUCAACACCCAUUUCCUGACUAGUGAGACAGCAUGGCCAAAGCAGCUGCAUGCAGAAUUUUCUUUUUACUCUGAAAGCAAGCCCCCUCUGUUUUAACUCCUUCCAGUUCUGAAUGCUCUGUGCUUUGCUAGGACCGAUUGUGGGGUUUUGUUUUCUUCUUCUACAAAUCCCUGUAAACACAGCUGUAUUCAGUAAUGGCAAAAAAAUUCUAUCCUGUAAAUAGAAAUCUGAUCAAUUUAAUCAAAAUAAAUGUAUCCCAGAUGACUUUGAGACCAGCUGGCUACCACAGGCUUCAGAUGCUAAAUGCUCAGUGGAGAUGAAUACAGUGUUAUAUGUACAUGUUUCAGAAUGCCGGGAUCAGCCUGUAAUUUGCAAAAAGAAAUUAUUUUCUAAGGAGGAGAGGUGGUCCUACCAGCUCACAGCUAAGAUGGCUGGAUACAGGUGUAAAUGCUCUUCAUGUGAUUUGGAGAUUUGCAGUGUUGCAUUUCAAAAGGCAUGUGCCAUGAGGCAGAGCAUGGCCGUUGUCAGUAUGGAGAAUGCUUGCUUCUAACUUGCUGUUAUGGAGAGCCGAAUACCCUCCAAGUAGCUUCUAGUGAGGUUGAGGGCAGGCACUUGAGGCUUAUUGUAGAUUCAAAUGUGAGGACUGGGGUUCUCCAACCCCAGCUCAGUGGAGUCAGCUCAACCCUGGGGGUGAGGAGCUUUCCCAGUUGUCAUGGGGAGCUCUUCUGGGACGCCUGUCUGGCCCUUCCACUGUUUGUUACUAAUUCUACAAAGGCAGCUCUGUGUGUUGGAUUAUGUUUGGCCAGCUGUUGAUGCAUUCCUGCGGGUGGGGCUGGGUGAGGAUCUUAUUACUGUACUUUCAAACUGUAGAUCUGUGUGCAGGGAUAGUACAGAGGGAAAGGAAAAGCAGUAAGUUACAGAAUCUGAUCAUUCUUACCUGUUUCUCCAGAUAGUCCUAGAGUGAAUCCAGAAAGGCUUUAAAGUGAAAAGAGGAAAGAGAGUAAGUGAUCGGGGGUGGGUGGCAUGAGGAGAAGAGAUUGAAACUGAGCAAGCGCACAAGAGAAAAACAGCCUUAGAACUUCAAAGCUGCAUAGACAAGCAGAAUGUCACCAGCUUGUAAUUAGCGGUUCAUAGUUGCGUCAGUGACUGUAUCUAUCCAAGAAUAACUAUGUGAUGUGUGCCACAAAGUGAAGAAGAUAGUCAUAACUAAGUUAUCAAAGCCAGUUCAAACAAGGGCAAAUGGAUUAAGAAAUUUUCUGUUUGUAAAUCAAACACUGAUGGAUUACACAAAUAAGACUUACUGAAUUCUGUAUAAUUGAAGGCUGAAUUAUCAGUUUAUCAGGGGGGAUAUGUUCAUUAAAUGAAACUGUGAAUGCUUAAACAUGCAAAGUAAUCAUGUGAGAAAAUAUCAAUGCAAGCUCUCUCAAUACAAGACGUUUUACUAAAUAGCCAAAAAUGGCACUGCCAGUCUCCUAUCUCUGUAUCCACACAUAAUUUUGUUUGUUUUUGUGCAUUUCAAUAGAGAGAAGUCAAAAGUGACAUUCAAGUAAAUAGGGUAAAUUAAAUUCUAAAAUUCCCACUUUCGAAUUUAAAAAACAACUAAGGAGUUUUGAUUUAUGGUGAUCUCCCGAGUUUAAACCUUGAAGGAGGUUUUGUUGUCUUGAAGCCAAACAGCAGCUUGUCAGUAAACGUUAUGGGAAGUCAGCGUACCAGAAUUGUUGAGGUUUGAAGGCCACAUUCACUUCCCUCCCUUGUCUCUCGUGCUUGGAGAUUUGGGUGCUACUGAAGCCUCCACAAAGAGACGGUGGGAGGAGCUGAUUGGUCCGUAGGCUUAGAAUGUUUACUCUUAUUUGUUUUCAGUGCUCCUCCACGGCAUUCAUUUUCUAUUUGUAUUUGUGUUCAUGCCGCACAAUUACUCCUGACCCGCUUUGUUUCUCUGCCCAAAGAGAAGUCAAUUUUAGUUCAGCUCUGUGUGUUUAGCUUGCUGGGUAAUAUGUGCAUAUGUAUUGCAUUACCCAUGUAUGCAUUUUUUUCUUUUUUAAAAAUGUGGAUUAGGGAAAAUUGUAGCAUGGAAAGCUGCAUAUAUUAAAUCAAUAGCUUUUUGAAUCACAUGUAAUAUAAUUUAAAUAUACUCACUUUGAGGUUGCCAAAACUGACAUUGUCUGAGCCCGUUUAAUUUACAUCUUCGAUUUAGUCAAGAAGCGGAACCUGCCAGAUCAGAAUAGUGUAUUCUGUGCACCCAUCAGGGUGGAAGACAUUAUUUUGUUUGUGUUAGUUCAAACAGCUGGUCAUUAAUGCAGUCCCCAUUUCUAGAGCGAAGUGCUGCUGGACAUGAAUGCCUGCCUGAUUAAUGCUGCCCCUCCGAGGGUCCUUCACCCAGCAGUCAUGCUCGCAGCAGAAUAAUGUAGCAUGAUGUGAUUGCACUCUAACAGGAUAGUAUGUCAUUGUGUCACCAAGCAAUUGAGGUUAUUAUGGGGCAGGGCAGACAGACGGGACAGUGGGGUUACUAGACCGUAGCAUUUUUAGAAAUACAGGCCUGACCUACUUAGAGUUAUUCUCUCUGGCUGGCAGCUGCAUGGUACAUAAAGUCUCCUGAUAGGCUGAGGCUGUUGCUAGGGGGAAUUAGCAUGAAUUUUUCCACACACAGACUCAGUGGCUGAAUGAUAAAAGCUGACUGGAAUUAAAGAGAUUUGGUUUAGUAUUAUACAGAUUUAUCUGCCUCCUUUUCUUUCUCAAGUGCAGAGAAAGAGUGCAAAACACAGAUUUUGUUUCCAUUUGUUCUUUGACCUUCUUGUUCCUCCUCCUCCCCUCAAGAUGCAUGAGGGGAGGAGAGUGGGGCAGUUAUGAAAUUUUGGUUAAUCUCUCACUGUUGGGGGUCAUUGAAAUGAUGUUGCAAAUUGCAAGAUAUUUAAGCUUAAAAACUGUUGAGAAUGACUAACAGAAGGUUACAUUAUUUUUCCUCUUCUGUGCACUAAGCUGUUUUGAAGUUGGGCAUGCAUCUUUCAUGCACUGUAUAUUUAAACUCUCUUUCCCUUUUGGGCUUGAACAAAACAUUUAUAUAAAUUCUUUUCUAUCCAAACAGAUUGAAGCUUGCAAUCUCUGGCUUGUUUAAAAUAAGGUGGUCAGGAUUCCAGAUUUAGACAGGAAAAAAAAUAUAUAUAUAUACCAUUUUUGUUAUUACAAAAUAUUAUUUUCUGGGCUAUUGUGGGUUUGACUCUUUUCAAAAACCAGCCUGAUGUAGAUGCUUAUGGAUGAAACUUAACUGCUCCUACCCUACCCUGUUGGCUUCACAAUAUAUAGGAAAACAUAGGUUUUUCUCCAGAAGAAAAUCUGCCUGCAGAAUAUAUCUGGAGGUUGUUUUCCUUGUUGCUGACAUAUGCACUGCAUAUAGACAACUCACAUAAUCAAUUUUAUAAGAUGACCCAUUUUUUUCCGUCUCGUGGAUCUCCAAGUGUCUGUGGCUUUUAAUAGAUCUUUUCUAGGGGAGGAGUUUUGAUAGAUCUUUUUAAGGUAAUCUGAAAAGCCAUCAGGAGAAAAAUUAAAGCAACACAUAUUCAAGAAUACUUUAAUUUUUCUUGUUCUUAAUUAUAUGCUCUCUAUACUUAAACUGCAAUUUCUUUCUGUUACCUUUUAUUGCUGAAAGUAGUGAUUAUCUUUGCCUUUUAGAUUUGAAAUUAAUUUUUGUGAGAACACCCUGGGAUAUCACAAGUAAACAAGAAGCUAGGCUACAUAAAGGAAAGGAAUAACAGAGAUUCUUGUAAACUUGUCACAUCAGAUUUUUUUUUUUUUUUUUUUUGGCCACAUGAAAAAGGCAAGAGAAAAUUUAGGUGUAGCUUUUUCUUUUUAUUUAGAUUUUUAAAAAUAUUUAGAACUAUUUAGAUACAUAAUGCUUUUAAACAGUGAUUUCUACUUAUACCAGAGAAUACAGUCAAAACAAAAUAAAACAAAUCCUCUAAUGGUGUCAGAGCCAAGAAAUCUAUCAAUCAUAUGUAUAUUUUUUAAAUCCAGGAGUGUUUACAUUUCAGCAUAUAAAUCUUAUCAAGCUAAAAUAGAAUAUAUUUUCUGAUGUAAUUGAUAGAUCAUACCCUCACUAGCUUUGAGAGUCCCCAUAUAAACAUUUAUUGUAAAGGUUUGCAACUACACUAGCAAUCUUUCUUAAUUGAAUAAAAUGUCAAUUUAUAUUUGUGGAAUAAAAGAUUACCUUAGUGUACUGCUCCUUCCAAAAUGAAGCAAUUUCUUUGUUGUUUUAAUAAGUGAACAUUUUUUGGUUUUCUUUUGCAGUGUUUAUUUUGCUUAGGUCAAUGGACAAUUAUUUAAAUAUUUAAAUGCAAAUAUAUGGAAAUAGAAUGUCACUUUAAAAUCACGUAAGAAAGGAAAAGUGUCAACAUACUUUUAUUAACACUCUUUAAUAAACAUAUGGCUAAUUUAUAUGUAAAGUACAGCCUGUUUCCAGGUACCCAGUCAAAUCAAAUGUUUAUUGUUUGAUGAAAAAUAAAUUGAUCACAUUAUAAUAGUUAAAUAUAAGUCUUAUUUGGUUGUUUAGGUUGCUAAGAAUUUCCCAUUGUUUUUAUCCAUUACCAGGGAGGUAAGUAUUCAAUAAGUCAAAAAGAAAAACAAAGCAAGCAUAUUUUAAAAUGCCAUUUAUGCUGACUUAGCUAAGCUUAAGCUUAUACUUAAGCUUGAGUCCUAGAUAUUCACUCAGACAACGGUAUCUCAUAGUAUUCGUUUCCUCCUUUGCCAUUCAUUAAAACACCAAAGGAGCAAUCAUCCUCACUCAUUGCAUCAAUCAUUUAUUUAUUAGGUAUUUAUUUUCUGCUCACACAUGAGGCUAACUUCUCUAGUUAUAAGGUUCAACAUAGACCAUUGGGGUUUUGGUGGGAUUGGUGGGUAAACAAAAAUGGGAAUAUAAGCAGUUGAUUGUUGUGGGCCACCAAGCGCAGGUGAAUCUUGUGUUGGAUAGUUUCCCUGACUGUGUUCUGUCUGACACCUAAUGUUACUUAGUCCUUACAACUUUGGGGAAGAGCUGGUGCCCUUAUUAUCAGAUGCUUGGAGAUGAUCAGCUCUCCUGAUGUCACAAAGAAACUGCAUCUCUUCCAAACCGUCUCAACACUUUUAUAAUAUUUAAAGAUCUAUCAUUAAGUCAGAAUGUGCCUUUUGUGAAGUCGUAAAAGCAUAAUGUAACCCAGUGAUUUUUGACAUCGCUGUUAAAAUGGGUAAUAGUAUCUCAACCAGAAUACCUGAAGCGCCCGAACUGUAUACUGCCUGAGACCUUAUCUGAUUCCCUCAGCCUGAUGCCUCCAGGGUUUCGUUUUUACCAGGCUCCUGUCUUAUUGGAGCAGUCAUCACCUGGUGGUAUUCUUUAGUCUGUUUCCCCACGAGUCUCUAACCCAUUCUUCAUCUAUGUGCCAGGGACACAGAAGAUGUUUCACAGACAUUAGUUGAUUAGCAAAUGAAUGAAUGAGUGAAUUGAUGAGUAUCCAGAAGACAGAUGUUAGAGAAGAAUAAUGAAGUCUUCUAUCGGUGAAUGUAUCAAUGGCAUAGGGCAGGGAUCAACACAGUUUUUCUAUAAAGGGCCAGAUAGUAAAUACUUUAGGCUUUGUGUACUGUAUGGUUUCUAUAGCAACUACUAAACUUGGCUGGUGUAGCUAAAAAGCAGCCAUAGACAAUAGUAAAUGAGUGAGUAUGGCUGUGUUCCAAUCAAACUUUGUUUACAAAAAGAGGCAAGGGGCUGGAUUUUGCCUGUAGGUUAUAGACCCCAAGUAUAAUCAUUACCUUUGAUAUUUUGAGGGUGUGAUUUACACCUAUAGGUUUACUGAAGAUCAGUGUAUUAAAAAAGGAGGAAGAUUUCAAACAAUUCAAUAAAAAUUAAGAAAAAGUGUUGGAUAAAUAUUAGUUACUUGUGAUGAGAACUCAGUGCUAAUCAACCACAUUUUCUUCUCUCACUGAUGACACAGAUGGAACAAUUUAUUUUAAAACUCAAAGAUGAAAGCAAGGAUUGUUACUCUUUCUUAAAAUAUAAUGGUAUUUUAUUGCUCAAUAUGUAAAAAGGAAGAAUGGAAAAUUUUUACCUUCAAAAUUUUUUUUUUAGUGUUGGUUGCCCAGUGGUAAAGAGGAAGUCCAGCCUCUUUGUUUGAAGAAGGGCACAAAAUGUAAAAUGUGUGAAGUGGUAACUCUGGAAACACGGCCACUGUGCCUCAUGUUAUCUUUUGCAUAUUCUUUUAAACAGUGUAAAUACUGUGCUAUUGCAAUAAACUAAGUCAGAUCUUUCCUUUGUCCUAUCUCUCCAGUCCCUUCUGCAAUUGUAGUAAUUAAUCUGCAACUGUAGAGGUUCUGGACGAACCCUUUUCCUCCUUUCUCUUGCUCUACUUCAGCCCUUUCUUGCCUUUCUCCUUUGUUGUAGGGCAGCUGGUGUUGGCCUUAUAUGUUGGUGAAUGGUGUUGGAGGCAGUAAACCAGGAUGGAUCGUGCUCUAAAAACCAUGGGCCUGGGAAUUAGGCAACCUUGUGUGUACAUCUCACUCCUGUAUCCACCAGCUGUGGGACUGAGGAUACUUCAGGGAACUUCCCUAAGCUUGAACUUCCUCAUUCAUAAACUAAGGGUGAUGAUAAUACUUACCGUGCAGAGGCUUUGUGAGGGUGAGAUGAGAUUAUGAACAUAAAGCCCUCCUAGAACUUUCUAAAUGUGCAGCAUAAUUUCAUUGCAGUGCUGUGACUUCUACUACUGCUCUUGUUUUUAUAAUUGGGAGUUGUCCUGCCAUCAAAGAAGUGUGCAUUAGGCUUUGAGAUCUUGGUGGCAUCCUUAGGGGUAAUUCUUCUUAAUGAGAGGCAUCGCCAAGAGCAUUUAUUCUGGGGAGUCCGGUAUCCGAAGUCCUGAAGCCAAGAGCAGAGCAGAUACAGGAACUUAGAAUAAGUCUUGAGGUAUCCAGUAUAUUUCAAGGAAUUGUGUUCUUGCUGUUUCACCUCUAAUUUUGUUGUUGUUGUUGUUGGCUUGGUGUGUUUUAGCAUAUUCUUUUAGGAUUGUCCUAGAGACACAGUUUGUUUCUUGUCUGUUUUUAGAGUAAGACCAAAGACAGAUAGAGCAAAAAGGACUGCCCCUCUACCCUAAGGCUGUGAUUUCCUUAUUUUAAAACUGUGCUCCAGGCUGAUCUUCUCCAGAAAAUUUGUCCUGAUUAACUGACUUGGGAGCAACACAUGCUCACAAACAUUCGUCAGUCUUCAGCUGACUUUGUGUCCAAUGAUUUUUUUAAAGCACAUUUGUUCAUCAUCACCUGACUAACUUUUCUAUCAUUUCCAGGCCUCUUAUGUUCCCCCUGAAGUUUUAUGGCCCCAAAAUGUGGCCGAGGUUGUCCUCUUGUGUAAGUGUCCGUGAGCUCACAAAGCAAAGCACUUACUAAACCGUUAUUUUUGCUUUUUACCUCUCUAAUCACCUCCAUUAGACUGCGGAUACCAAAGGGCCUACCUUAAUAUGAUAUUCUCAGCAACUAGAAGAGCCAUAGGCACAUUCUAAGUGCUCAAUAGAUAUUUGUAUAGGAAAUGACUGUCAGAGGCAUGUUCAUUCUGCAUAUUCUAAUAAUUUAUAUUAAAUAAGUCACUUGGAAUAUUGCUGAACUACUAGUAGUAACUACUACUACUAAAUUGAUGGUGAAAUUAAUGAGUUAAUCUAUCCCAGUAUUUGUAGACUAUCACUUAAAAAUAAAGGGUUCUAUCCACACAAUUUUGGAAUUAGUAAAUGAGAAAAUACAUAUACUAUUGUGACUCCUUCUCAGAUUGGACCCAGCUAAUUAUACAUCUUUGUUUAGACAGCAUGCAGCAUAGAGAUGAAGAACAGAAACCAAUUUUUUUUUAAAGCAGCAAGAAUAAGAAUUAUUCCAAAGCAAGAAUAAUCAUUCUUCCUUUGUGGAGAUUUCAUAAAACAUGUAUCUUAUUCUGUGAGUGAGACAUGUUCUUAGUUCUAACAAACCAUUGAGAAGCUGAUUAAAUGAAAAGUGUUCAGGAAUCAUCAAUUGAACAUGAUGUUUGAUAUUUUAGCUUGUCUUUAUAUCUUUCUUAAUAAAAAAUCCUUUAGUUCUCUAACAGAAAUGUUAGAAAAAUGUUACUUUGAUGCUUUUAAGGACCCUUUCCUAACCCACAAGGCUAAAGUGUAUUAAUAACAGAGAGGUGUAAGGCAGGAGGGGUGGGGGUGUAAUUGAACGUGUCUGGUCUUCCUGGGGUUUUUUCCUUGCGGCUGCUAGUGGUUACAAAUGGCCACGUACCCCAGGGGAAGUGAAUGCAACAGCAUGGGAGUGAGAGCGUUUUUGUGUUCUCUGCCAAUUAUUAGGUGUGAUUGAAUAUUUUGAAAGAAGCCAGUACAUAAAAAUGGACAUUUGGCUAGUGCCCGAUAGAAGUGAUUCUUUUUCCGCCUGUUUUCUUUUCAAAUGUGUUUGAUAUUCUGACUUCAGACUCUGCCUACCCCUCUUGUUAUCAGGGGUAGACAUCAGUCUUACAAAGGACACUUGAUAGAUAUGGGGUGGACGACAUUGGGUUUACAAUGUUUCUUCCUUCUCUAGCUACCAUAUGUCUGUGUUUUCCCUUGUUCUAUAGGGAAGGCUUUGCUUCAUCUUUUUUUUCCAGGACGUAGCAAAGGCUCUUGGAUUUAGGUUUUUAGUUGUAAGAAUGAGGAAUGCCAAUAUUGUUUCCCAAGAAUGACCACUGAUAAUAUUAUGGUAUUUUCAGAAUAAAAGGCAUAACAGAAUUUGUAAUUGUUGUAAUUUUAAGGAAAUCUCUUUAUACUCCUUUAUUGGAAGAAAUCUUCUAUCGAAUUUUGCAUUUCACACUUUUAACAGAAAACACAAUAGUAGUAGGAGCACUAUUUUGUGAUCAUUAAUCUUCACUAGGGUUUGAGAACUCUUAAUUAAAGAAUUAUGGAAGGCCUGGGAAUUUUUUGGCAACACAUAUAAAUAUCAAAAGAGAAUCUUCUAGGAAAAUAUUAAUCACUUAGAGCCAAUUCAGAUAAUGGCCAGCAAACAGAAUUUGAACAUUGCAUCCCUCCUUUUGAUCAAUUCUCCAUGUUGCUAAUUGUUAGAAAUCAGGGGUAGAGGGCUUGUCUUCAUUCUGGAGUCCUGUUUAGAGUUUUGAGGAAUCACUUUAGCAUAAAGGAUGGCACUGUAUUGUCAGGAAUUUGUAUUUCCAGGAUUCUCUUUAGAAUCAAUGUGCCAAUUUUUGCCUUCUUAGUCACGUGUACAGUAGCAAGGUAAACAUGGAUUAUGGUCUAUAUGUUUGUAUAGCUGCUUUUGGGGGGAUCAGUUUUUAAUUAUUAGAAGGAUGACAUGACGUAUCAUAUACUCAGUCCUUAAAGGAGCAGUUAGUUUAAUUUUCUUUAGAUCUAUCCAUCAAACUAUAAGAUCCAUGGGGACAAGUCAGUUUAGCUCAUCAUUAUAUGAUGCCUGGCCCAGCAAAAAUGCCAUAUACACAUCUAUUGAAUGAAUUGGAAGUAAGUGGGAGUAGUGUUAAGAUAUUUUAAACCACAAUUUUCAAUAUAAACCAGUAGCUUUCUGUUCAAAAUGUAAAAAUAAAAAAUGCCUAUCCAUGCAAUAUA